CAGAAACCAGGAGGAAUAAUUGCUCUUCUUGAUGAAGCCUGGUAAGCUGCUCCAGCCUGCCAUCUACUGAUCAUCUGAACAAUCAACGAAAAAUAAAGAAAACACUUGCUUUGAAAAAAAGAAAAAAAUGAAAAGUAGGAUAUAACAGAAUUUUCCACUCUUGCAGCAUGUUUCCGAAAUCAACUCAUGAAACCUUUGCACAGAAGAUGUACCAGACUUAUAAAGCGCACAAACGCUUCAGCAAGCCGAAGCUUGCCAGAACCGACUUCACCAUAAAUCAUUAUGCCGGUGAUGUAUGUAAGGAUAAAGACACAGACAUUCAUCAGGUUUAGUGAAUAUAGAAUUUUCUUAUUGUUCUCUUCUGUCUGAACAGGUAACCUAUCAAGCAGAUCAAUUUCUCGACAAAAAUAAGGAUUAUGUUAUUGCAGAACAUCAAAAUCUUUUGAAUGAUUCUAGUUGCUCAUUUGUUGCAAAUCUUUUCCCUUCAUUGCCUGAUGAAACAUCAAAGCAAUCCAAGUUUUCCUCCAUCGGUACCCGCUUCAAAGUAGGUGAAAAUCAGCAAACUGUACUGGCAAUUCAUCAAUCAAAGUCAUAUUCCUCUCACAUUUCUCAUCAUAUAAAUCAUGAAAAAUUUGCAGCAACAAUUACAAUCAUUAAUGGAAACCCUGAGCACAACAGAGCCACAUUACAUCAGAUGUGUGAAGCCAAAUACAGUUCUGAAACCUGGGAUAUUUGAGAACUUCAAUGUCUUGAACCAGUUAAGAUGCGGAGUAAGUCGCUAACUCAUCUCUGAUAGUCACGUUAUAUUUUUAAUUUCUGAGACGCGUAUAACAUUUGAUGACACUCUGGCAGGGUGUACUAGAGGCCAUAAGAAUAAGCUGUGCAGGGUAUCCGACAAAAAGAACAUUCGAUGAGUUUAUAGACCGGUUUGGAAUGCUAGCCCCAGAUGUUGUGGAUGGGUGAGUAAUCUAUCCUACUCCACCAGAUUUAGCCUAAUUUAGUAUCCCGUGUGAAUCCCAUGUAUGCACGUGAGAUCACAAGUUUGCCUUCGACAAUGAGAACCUAGGACAUAGUUAUGUUUAUAUCUAACAGUUUCUGCAUUGCAGGUCAGAUGAGAAAUCAGCAUGUAUUGCAAUAUGUGACAGGAUGGGCUUAAAAGGCUAUCAAGUAAGAAAUAUUUAAAUCUAAAAAACUUUAAUUACUGCUAGCAAUUUAGCAUUGUCAUUUCUUGCACCUCAGAUUGGGAAAAGCAAGGUAUUUCUGAGAGCAGGGCAGAUGGCUGAAUUAGAUGCUAGAAGAGCAGAAGUUCUGGCUCGUGCCGUCAAGCGCAUUCAGAGGCAAAUCCGAACUCACCUUACAAGAAAAGAGUUUAUUAUUCUACGGAAGGCAUCCAUAAAUGUCCAGAAACUUUGGAGAGGUAUUAGACAUGUCACAAGCAAGUUUUCAGGCAAUUCUCUGACAAUAAAUGAUUGCCAAAGGCUCAUAUCAAAACUUUUUUAUGCUUCCCACAGCACGAAUUGCGUGCAAGCUUUAUGAACACAUGAGGAGAGAAGCUGCUUCAAUCCGAAUACAGAAACAUGCACGUACUCUUGCAGCAAGAAAUUCAUACACCAAAUUGCAGGAGGCAGCGGUAAUAAUUCAAACUGGCUUACGAGCAACGGCAGCACGGAAUGAGUUCAGACGCAGAAGACAAAACAAAGGAGCAACAAUCAUUCAGGUAAUAUUAUUUGAAAAGAAGAAAGUAAGGCAGAUAGGAGACUAUGAUACUGGUCUGUAUUUCUUGAUUGGAAUAAUUGAUUAAAUUCAUUGUCUUUGUGCUUCCACAAUACAAAACCAUCGAUCUAGAUAUUAAAUUUAUCUGUGUCUUUGUGCAGACACAAUGGAGAAGUUUCUACGCCCUUUCUGCCUAUAAACGGCUCAAGAAGGCCAACAUUUCACUUCAAUGCCUUGGCGAGCUAGAAUAGCGAGGAAGGAGCUUCGGAAGUUAAGAAUGGUUAGUAUUAAUUCCACAGUCUUACUGCUAAUAAAUACAGAUGUUAAAGGCUAAUAUUUUCCUAAAACAGGAAGCAAGAGACACAGGAGCACUCAAGGAAGCAAAGGACAAGCUGGAAAAGCGUGUUGAUGAGCUAACAUGGAGAUUAGACAUUGAGAAACACCUACGAGUACGCUGCAAAUUCACUCUCCCAAUUUAAGUAAUAAUCAAAUUUCACAGCAGGCAGCAGCAAGAACGAAUUUGCAAAUAAUUUAUACAAGCAGCCACUAAUUCUAUUGUUCAGUUAUUUCUAAAACCAAACAAAUAUAUCAGAUGUUAGAGUUAUUGUCUAAGUAUUAGAUAAUUUAUCUGUGGUGAUAUGCAUCCUUCAAUUAUACGUCAUAAUAAAAAUUAAUCAUCUUGCAGAUGGAUAUUGAAGAAGCCAAGGGGCAGGAAAUAGCAAAAUUGCAGAAUGUUUUACAGGAUAUGCAAACACAGCUUCAUGAAGCUCAAGCUGCAAUCAUUCAUGAAAGAGAAGCUGCCAAGAUAGCAAUCGAACAAGCCCCGCCAGUCAUCAAAGAGGUACCAGUUGUUGACAACACGAAGGUGGAGCUACUGACAAAUCAAAACCACGAACUCGAGGUAUCAUCAAACAACUAUAGUACACUUCAUUCAUACAACGAUAGCAUUUUCAUCUAGAAACUAGAAACAGUCACAAUUCAAAUGCAGUUGGUAAAAAUUAAAUAAUAUUGAAAUUUGAUUGUUUACUAUUACUACAAUAGUUAAGUAUGAUAAAGACUUUAUUUAGCGAAACAGUGCUAUAAGGUACAUAAUUAACAAAAAACUCUACCACUCACUAUUCCAAAAGAUCACUCAAGGCACAUUCCGAAUAAUUUCAUUACCAACAUUAGAAACUAGCAAAUGUCAUGUAUAGCCUAUAGGGUAGGGAAGCUGACCUAAUUCCGAGUGCAUAUUUGCAGGAAGUGAUUACUGAAUUGAAGAAGAAGGUAGAAGAGUUUGAGCAGGCUUAUUCAAAGGUGGAACUAGAAAGCCAAGCUAGACUUAAAGAAGCAGAAGAGGCACAAAUGAAAACUUCACAACUGCAAGAGAGCAUUGAAAGGUAUUUGGUAUUACUAUUAAUCAUAUGUACAUGUAGCUUUAUCGAAAAUCUUGACUCUAAUAUGACUAUAUCCGUUUUACAUCUCUUCAGAUUAGAAUCAAACCUAUCUAAUCUCGAGUCUGAGAAUCAGGUGCUACGUCAGCAGGCUUUGGCUGCAUCAGCUAAGGAAGACUUCACUGUGGAAAUGGAACUGUAAGAAUAUAAAAAAGAGACACUCUGAGCUUUACACUGGGUACUUUCGUUCCUACAAAAACUUGAUAAAACCCUAUGCAAAUUUCAGUUAAUACAAAAUAACUACAGAUUACUAGGUAUCAUUAAUAGAUAAUCAAAGAACUAGUUGACAAUAAAACAUACCUGAAGCACUUCACAUAGCUGGGCACAUAGGUGAUGUUUCUUGAAAGCAAUCACUGCAGAUAUUUGAAAUUGUUUUAUGUCAGACUAAGGGAGAAGAUUAAAGUUUUGGAGUUGGAGAACACGUUGCUCCACAGUCAAAAAGUUGUUGUGCCACAAAUACAGAGUUCUGAUGGUGAUCAAGUUAUAUCAUCAUCAGUAAAGGUACAGUAGUAGGUUUCACUUGUUUGUACAAAUUACUGAAUUUUCAAUUUAAUUGACGACUGGCUAUUUUAAAAAUGCAGAAUUUGGAUAAUGGAUACGAGAACCAUAAUGGCGGGGACACAAUGGUACACCAACUGACAACAGAAGUAGAGCAGCAGAUAAAUGAAGUGAUAAAGGUUCCGUUCAACAACUACAUCUACAAAUUAGUUCCUCAAAAAAAAAAAGACAUAUACAAAUUGGUUUUCUGUUAAUGGUGUCAGUAAACAAGUGCAAUUCUUAUGUAGGAUUCAGAGGCUAUUCCCCCUCUUCUCUCUAAACAGAGAUCCUUGACAGAUAGGCAGCAGGUAGUAAAACCACCACUCCUUAAAAUCAUGGGAAAAAUAUGUUGCUAUGUAUAAUGGGAAUUUGUAUGUGAUUUAUCAGGAAAAUCAUGACGCACUGAUCAAAUGUCUUCUAGAAGACAACCGCUUUGAUAAGAAUAGGCCAGUUGCUGCCUGCAUCGUGUACAGAACACUCAUACAGUGGAGAUCCUUUGAAGCAGAUAAAACUAAUAUAUUUGAUAGGAUUAUUCAUGCAAUCCAAUCAUCAAUUGAGGUAACAGAACAAGAGCAUAAACACUAUAAAUUUUCAACAUAUAACUAAUACUAGUUUUAUGUGCAAAACCAGGACAGCACCAAGAAUCUGGCAUACUGGCUGUCAACAACUUCGACUCUUUUGUUUCUUCUGCAAAGAACGAUCAAGGCAAGCAAUACAUCAGCAGCAGCUUCAAGAAGAAACAGAAGUUCACCCAUCUCGCUUUUUGGUAGAAUGGCACAGGUAAAAUGUUGAUGGCUAGUCAGUCGUCUGCAUAAUAAUGUUGUCAUGCAGCUAUUUCACAUCUAGCAUUCCAUUGCCAGGUGCGGUCAUCUUCUAUGAUCAUGGGACUAUCUAGUGGUUACAGCGGGAUGGAGGGCAACCCGAUCAAGAAAUCAAGGAUUGAGGCAAAAUAUCCGGCUUUGUUGUUUAAGCAACAUCUGACAGCAUGUGUUGAGAAAUUAUAUGGGAUGAUUCGUGAUGGCUUGAAGAAAGAGAUCAGUCCAUUUCUUAAUUUGUGUAUACAAGUAAGUACUUGUCAAUUCUGAAAGAUUAUACACACAUGUCUUUUAUAAAUUGGAAUUUGGUAAAAACAGGCACCGAGAGCUGCGAGGAUCAGACCGGUAAAAGGGCCCUCUAAAACCAUCCAUUCACAUAUCAUGAAACAACAGAGCUCUAGCAUACACUGGCAAAAUAUCAUCCAAUGCUUUGAUCAUACCAUGAGAAUACUGUCCGAAAAUUAUGUAAGUGGAAGCUUGUUAUUCCUUAAAUGGAUUUUUUAAAACAUAUUAAUAAUGACAAAAGAAUCUUUGUUUAGGUUGCACCAACCAUCACAAGGAAGAUUUUCAGCCAAGUAUUCUCAUUCAUAAAUGUUCAGCUUUUCAAUAGGUAAGAAAUCAUUCCUACUUCUAAAUUUGCACUACGGCAACAAUUUUAGUGUCCUAAUACUGCUUUUUGCCCUAUCUGCUUCUAUUGUUAGCUUACUGCUACGUCGUGAAUGCUGUUCAUUUAGCAACGGUGAAUAUGUUAAGGCUGGUUUACAAGAACUGGAAAACUGGUGUGUAAAAGCAACGGCUGAGGUAAAUGAUUAUUCACAUAAAUACUUAUUAGAUGAUUCUAGAAAGGUCAAAUUUCUUACAUAUUUUCCAUCUUUAUGCAGUAUGCUGGAUCCUCGUGGGACGAACUCCAACACAUAAGACAAGCUAUAGCAUUUCUGGUAUAACUAAUCUAGUUCAGCUUGCAUUAAAUUUUAAAAGAACCAUAACUGAUCAAGUGAUGCAUCCUUUACCUUUUGCAGGUCCUGCAUCAGAAAACUCACAAAUCCUUGGAUGAGAUCACAAGUGAACUCUGUCCGGUAAACUUGACCUUAUGCUGUAUUUCGUUUCCUUACUCAAAACCGUGAAAUGAUUUGAUUUCUUCGCGGAGGGGAAAUCCAUCAUACACCUUAGUCAUAACAUGGAUCUAUUCUUCAUUCUUUGCUUUCAUUGAUUUGAUCAGGUAUUGAGCAUUGCACAAAUAUAUAGAAUCGGAACCAUGUUUUGGGAUGAUAAAUAUGGAACCCAAGGAUUAUCUACAGAGGUAAAAGCUCUUCUUUGGUUCAUAUAUGCAUUAUUUAGAUCUAUUUUUCAGAAUUUAACUUUAUAUAAAACUUGCAAUCAUUUGAAUUUAAGGUAAUUGCAAAGAUGAAAGCUCUGACAGUAGAAGAUUCAAUUAGUACACCAAACAAUACAUUCUUGCUCGAUGUGGAUUCAAGGUAUUCAAACUUUAAGGCAUAAAACUCGAGAAACAACAGCCACUAACGUGUAUUUAUUCAAAUUGCAGCAUACCUUUCUCCAUGGAUGAGAUAUCAGAGUCUUUCCAGGAUAUCAAUGUAUCAGAUGUGAAUCCGCCACCUCUUCUUCG
rnacentral:lncRNA from 1 species